AUUGAACGCUGGCGGAAUGCUUUACACAUGCAAGUCGAACGGCAGCACGGACUUCGGUCUGGUGGCGAGUGGCGAACGGGUGGGUAAUGUAUCGGAACGUGCCCAGUCGUGGGGGAUAACGUAGUGAAAAUUACGCUAAUACCGCAUACGAUCUAUGGAUGAAAGCGGGGGAUCGCAAGACCUCGCGCGAUUGGAGCGGCCGAUAUCAGAUUAGGUAGUUGGGGGGGUAAAGGCCCACCAAGCCAACGAUCUGUAGCUGGUCUGGGAGGACGCGCAGCCACACUGGGACUGAGACACGGGCCGGACGCCGACGGGAGGCAGCAGUGGGGAAUUUUGGACAAUGGGCGAAAGGCUGAUCCAGCCAGUCCGCGUGCAGGAUGAAGGCCCUCGGGUUGUAAACUGCUUUUGUACAGAACGAAAAGGUUUCUACUAAUACUAGGAGCUCAUGACGGUACUGUAAGAAUAAGCACCGGCUAACUACGUGCCAGCCGCCGCAGUAA
rnacentral:rRNA from 1 species